GUGGGGAAUAUUGCACAAUGGGCGAAAGCCUGAUGCAGCAACGCCGCGUGAGGGACGACGGCCUUCGGGUUGUAAACCUCUUUUAGUAGGGAAGAAGCGAAAGUGACGGUACCUGCAGAAAAAGCACCGGCUAACUACGUGCCAGCAGCCGCGGUAAUACGUAGGGUGCAAGCGUUAUCCGGAAUUAUUGGGCGUAAAGAGCUCGUAGGCGGUCUGUCGCGUCUGCUGUGAAAACUGGAGGCUCAACCUCCAGCCUGCAGUGGGUACGGGCAGACUAGAGUGCGGUAGGGGAGAGUGGAAUUCCUGGUGUAGCGGUGGAAUGCGCAGAUAUCAGGAGGAACACCGAUGGCGAAGGCAGAUCUCUGGGCCGUAACUGACGCUGAGGAGCGAAAGCGUGGGGAGCGAACAGGAUUAGAAACCCUAGUAGUCC
rnacentral:rRNA from 1 species